CUCUCAGCCCUAACUCUUGGCUUUAACCUUCAACCAACCCUCAAAACCCACCACGAAUCUCCACUUUCUUCAUCAUCAUCCUUGUUGUCGAGACUAGUUCCCAAGCCCGAUCUCUCCCAAAUCGGCUUCUUCCUUUCCUCUCGCAAUUUCUGGCUUCACGUCCUCGGCGAUCUCAAAUGCCCUUUCAACUCAUCCCUUUCUCUGGGUUUCAUCGCCCAAACACCUUGAUACAUACGGUGAAGAACAAUAAUGUUUUUGCUUUUCGUUUGAUCUCCCUCUGCCACACUAUUUCUCCAUCUCUCUAUGCUUUCAUCAUCUAUUGCAAGAACAUUAACAUAGAAAAUGCUCUCCAAACCCUCACUCUCUCUCCAUUUCUCUCUAUCAAACCCCAAACCCAAGCCCAAACCCAAAUCGACAUCAAGAGCUCCAAGAAGCAAUAGCGUCUUCAAGUUGAACACAAUGGUGGGAAGCUAUUGACUUAGUUAGAAAGUUGUAAUGAAACAAAAAAGUUAAAUGGGCUAGAGAGAGAAUGUAUGCCUUCUCUCCAGAAACAUCUCAUUUCUAGGGUUUCAUUAAUCUCUCAUUGAUUAUGGCUGAUUCUCUUAAUACUCGUGGGGUCAAUUCUUCUAGAGGCGAAGUAGAUGUAUUGGAAGGAAAAAAGGGAUCGGAUCUAAUGAGGUUUGGGGGGUUCUUGAUGGCAGUCUCUUGUCCGAUUGGUCCCCAAUUUCUUCUACUCCCAAAGGUCUAUAUGUGUGUGUGUGUGUGUAAUUGGGUAUCUGAUUGUUUGAUUUCCAAACCCUAAUGGAGAAAAUGGAAAUUCAAAGUCUGUAUAUGUGUGUAAUUGGGUGUCUGAUUGUUGUUUGACUUGGUUGUUGGAAACGCUUUUGGUUACGUUUAUCUGACUGUUGAUUACCAAGUACAUGUUAAUUUAAAAUCAAAAUUGAAUUCUUUGUUGUGUUGAUUUUUGUGUGAUUAGAAUGAAAUUGAGCUAGGGCUAAAUUAGAGAAGUCGUUCUGAUUGUUGGAUUUGAUUAUUUUGGAUUGAUUUAGGGGAUUUUUGAUGGAAAUUAUUGUCAUUUUGGAUUCAAGUGUUAUUAAUUUGUAAGAAGUGUUUUCAAUUCCCUUUUCUAAUUGAUUUUAUAGGUAUAUGUUGAUUUAGACUCUAAAAUUUUGAAUUUUUUUUUCUGUACUUAAUAUGGACAUGUAUAUUUGUAUAGGCUGAUUUUUUUUUCAUUGUUGAACGGAAGAAAAUGUAUGUUUUAUGAUAGGUCUAGUAGUUUAAUUGCCAUAUUGUCCAAUACAUUGUCUUGAUUGUUAAAUUAUAUGGUUAUAUGAUAGUUUAUGUUAUUUUUGGGAAAUCAUAUGCAUUUAAUCUGUGGAGGGGAAAGGGUUUGAGGGAGGUAAUUUCUACUAAUAAUGGUUUUAUAUUCUUACUGUUUGACUUGAGUUCUAAUAGUGCUAGUGUUCUUGAAGAUGGUCCAUGGUUUUUUGGAGGUCACUUUCUGAUUGUGAAGAAAUUGCACAAGAUGAUGAGGCCAACCAAGAUGAUGAGUUUAAGCAUAUCACCAGGGAAGAUGCAGUGCAAGCAAACCUAUGGUUCUUGCCACUGCUCUCCUUGUUUCCCUCUCACUUUACUUGGAAACAAUUGUCCCAGCUACUUUCACUAUUAGCGAUUCUUUAGGAUGGGAUUUUAGUGUUGGAAGCUGGACAAAUGGGAAGCAAUUCAAGGCCGAGAAUAUGCUAAGAUUUUGGUCAUAGUAUAUUCUUGGACACGUUGGGUGUACUAACAAAAUAGACUGCCAGGUUGGCUACUAAAAUUUUCAACUCUUGUAGAAAUUUAUUCAUACCAAUUCAUUACUUGCCUCUAAAUUAUUAUUAUUCUUAAGAUAUUAUAUUCUCUCUCUCUCUCUCUCUCUCUCUCUCUCUCGCUCUCGCUCUCUCAAUCUAAAUUCUAAAGGGGUUUAUUGAAUUAAAAGUAGUUUUGUUAUAGUUGUGUAUUAGCCUAUUCUAGAUACAGGGGGUAGUAAAUAAGAAACUUCCGUUCACCAGAUAUUACUUUCCAAAGGGGUUUCAUUUUGUUUAGCUAAUUGAUCAUGACAAAAACAGGAGUUUAAAGUGAUCAUUGAAUAGUUGGGAACUAAUUAAAUGUAAAUAACAAAAACGACCAUCAUUUGUGUCAUUUUAAAACCUCAAUAGUGAUAUAUAUAUAUAUAUAUAUAUAUUUUCUGAUAAUUGGCAGCAAAUAGGUUAUUGAAGAAUUUAUAAUUUAAGAUGAAAUGUGCAGGUAUGUCUAGCCUAUUUAUUGGGAUUUGGAGGAAUUCCAUUUUUUUAGUUGUAAUUGAGAAUUGUUUGAUAUUAUAACUAACUUCAAAGUUUCUUUGGACCUCGGUAAUUUUUGGAUUAUACAAAACAUUGUAUUGUUGUUGACCCUGUUGAUAGGACUUUUUGCACACCAAUCAUGCCUGCCUGAGUAAGUUAAUGGAAAGAAGAUAAAUUUGGAGUUUUGUAACUCAUUCUACUAUACUGUUUUUUUUUUUUCAUCUUCCCCCAGUCAAAACACAACAAUACUGAUUCGUUAAUGUUUGGGACUUCAUUAUAGAAUGUAGAAAUCGAAGCUGCUCCAAACAGCUUCAAGUUAACUAAUAUUGAAUUAAGAAUAAUUCAUUUCUUUGUCCGUAGUUUGUUCUUUAGUUGACUUGUAGAUUACUUAUAUGUAUCACCACCCAUUGCUGAACAUUGGGGUCUCAAAUGGACAAGUAUACUUUUAGUAAUGGUUCAUGUUAUUUAGAUGUUGCUCAAUGUGACCUUGGAUACAUGAAGUACCCCUGCCAAUUCAUUUGGGAAAUCACAAGUUUAUGCUAUCUGUAUUUUUUUUGUUGUAAAAUAUUACAGCUUUUAUAGCUACUAUAACUUUGCAAUGUGAUCUGAUGAUGGUAAUGUGUCGGAACCAACUCCUGUCACUCAACUUGUAAGGGAAACUGCUGCUGUUAUGUAGGAGUUCACACAGUCAGGGUAAGUGCUUUCUAUCAGUUUACAUCUCAUAUUGUUUAUAUUUUUGGUUAGAAUUCUUGACUAUUGUUAACUUGAAAUCCUCAAAAUUGUAUCAUGUGAGGUGCAUUUGCCUAACAUAUGGUUCAAAUGAUGAGUAUGAGCCCAAUAGUAGCAGUGACGAUGAUGAUGGUGAUGGCUAAUUUUUGAGGACUUUGAUUAAUAGAUUUCUAUAAUCUUUGAAUAGUUUUGGAUUUUGUUUACAAAUUUAUAUAUGAUACAGUUUUGGAUGGUUUAUAACUUUUUGGAUAAUUUAGAAUUCAAGGAUAGUCUUUUUGGACAGUUUUGAACUUACAGUUCGUUUUUGGAUGUUUGGAAUGUACUGACAAUUUUUUAAUGUUCAUAAUUUAUGGAUGUAGUUUAUUUUUUA